UACGUAGGUGGCUAGCGUUGUCCGGAUUUACUGGGCGUAAAGAGCGCGCAGGCGGUCGUUCAAGUCGAGUGUGAAAGCCCCCGGCUCAACUGGGGAGGGUCACUCGAUACUGAUCGACUCGAAGGCAGAAGAGGGAAGCGGAAUUCCCGGUGUAGUGGUGAAAUGCGUAGAUAUCGGGAGGAACACCAGUGGCGAAGGCGGCUCACUGGACCGGUACUGACGCUGAUGCGCGAAAGCGUGGGGAGCAAACGGG
rnacentral:rRNA from 1 species